GACGAACGCUGGCGGCGCGCCUAACACAUGCAAGUCGAACGGAGCUAUUUCGAUAGAUCCCUUCGGGGUGACAUUGGCUUAGCUUAGUGGCGAACGGGUGAGUAACACGUGAGGAACCUGCCCUUCAGAGGGGGACAACAGUUGGAAACGACUGCUAAUACCGCAUAAGACCACAGGGUCGCAUGACCCAGUGGUAAAAACUCCGGUGGUAUGAGAUGGACCCGCGUCUGAUUAGCUAGUUGGUGGGGUAACGGCUCACCAAGGCGACGAUCAGUAGCCGACCUGAGAGGGUGACCGGCCACAUUGGGACUGAGACACGGCCCAA
rnacentral:rRNA from 1 species